rnacentral:rRNA from 1 species
AUUGAACGCUGGCGGCAGGCCUAACACAUGCAAGUCGAGCGGAUGAAGGGAGCUUGCUCCUGGCUUCAGCGGCGGACGGGUGAGUAAUGCCUAGGAAUCUGCCUGGUCGUGGGGGGUAACGUCCGGAAACGGGCGCUAAUACCGCAUACGUCCUGAGGGAGAAAGUGGGGGAUCUUCGGACCUCACGCUAUCAGAUGAGCCUAGGUCGGAUUAGCUAGUUGGUGGGGUAAAGGCCUACCAAGGCGACGAUCCGUAACUGGUCUGAGAGGAUGAUCAGUCACACUGGAACUGAGACACGGUCCAGACUCCUACGGGAGGCAGCAGUGGGGAAUAUUGGACAAUGGGCGAAAGCCUGAUCGAGCCAUGCCGCGUGUGUGAAGAAGGUCUUCGGAUUGUAAAGCACUUUAAGUUGGGAGGAAGGGCAGUAAGUGAAUACCUGGCUGUUUUGACGUUACCAACAGAAAAAGCACCGGCUAACUUCGUG